rnacentral:tRNA from 2 species
GGGGAUGUAGCUCAGUUGGGAGAGCGGCGCCUUUGCAAGGCGUAGGUCAGGGGUUCGAGUCCCCUCAUCUCCA